rnacentral:rRNA from 1 species
CCCUUAGAUGUCCUGGGCCACACGCGUGCUACACUGAUGCAUUCAACGAGUUUUACCUUGGCCGAGAGGCCUGGGCAAUCUUUUAAACCUGCAUCGUGAUAGGGAUAGAUUAUUGCAAUUAUUAAUCUUGAACGAGGAAUUCCUAGUAAACGCAAAUCAUCAAUUUGCAUUGAUUACGUCCCUGCCCUUUGUACACACCGCCCGUCGCUCCUACCGAUUGAGUGGUCCGGUGAGGCUUUGGGAUCUGAGCGGAAAGAGCGUUUCGCUGUUUCUGCUCGGAAAACUCAGUCGAACCUUAUCAUUUAGAGGAAGGAGAAGUCGUAACA